rnacentral:rRNA from 1 species
UACGUAGGGUGCGAGCGUUGUCCGGAAUUAUUGGGCGUAAAGGGCUCGUAGGCGGUUUGUCGCGUCGGGAGUGAAAUCCACUGGCUUAACUGGUGGCUUGCUUUCGAUACGGGCAGACUGGAGGUAUGCAGGGGAGAACGGAAUUCCUGGUGUAGCGGUGAAAUGCGCAGAUAUCAGGAGGAACACCGGUGGCAAGGCGGGUCACUGGGCCGUAACUGACGCUGAGGAGCGAAAGCUGGGGAGCGAACAGG